GGAUCGCUAGCUCAGUUGGUAGAGCAGAUGACUCUUAAUCAUCGGGUCAGAGGUUCGACCCCUCUGCGAUCCA
rnacentral:tRNA from 1 species